AUUGAACGCUGGCGGCAUGCUUUACACAUGCAAGUCGAACGGUAACAGGCCUUCGGGCGCUGACGAGUGGCGAACGGGUGAGUAAUGCAUCGGAACGUGCCCAGUCGUGGGGGAUAACGCAGCGAAAGCUGUGCUAAUACCGCAUACGAUCUGCGGAUGAAAGCGGGGAACCUUCUGGCCUCGCGCGAUUGGAGCGGCCGAUGUCAGAUUAGGUAGUUGGUGGGGUAAAGGCUCACCAAGCCAACGAUCUGUAGCUGGCCUGAGAGGACGACCAGCCACACUGGGACUGAGACACGGCCCAGACUCCUACGGGAGGCAGCAGUGGGGAAUUUUGGACAAUGGGCGCAAGCCUGAUCCAGCAAUGCCGCGUGCAGGAAGAAGGCCUUCGGGUUGUAAACUGCUUUUGUACGGAGCGAAAAGGCUCCCUCUAAUACAGGGGGCUCAUGGCGGUACCGUAAGAAUAAGCACCGGCUAACUACGUGCCAGCCGCCGCCGUAAGAC
rnacentral:rRNA from 1 species